GUACUCGAGUGGCGAACGGGUGAGUAACACGUGGGUGAUCUGCCUUGCACUUCGGGAUAAGCUUGGGAAACUGGGUCUAAUACCGGAUAGGACAGCUGUUUAGUGUCAGUUGUGGAAAGUUUUUUCGGUGCAAGAUGAGCUCGCGGCCUAUCAGCUUGUUGGUGGGGUAAUGGCCUACCAAGGCGUCGACGGGUAGCCGGCCUGAGAGGGUGUACGGCCACAUUGGGACUGAGAUACGGCCCAGACUCCUACGGGAGGCAGCAGUGGGGAAUAUUGCACAAUGGGCGGAAGCCUGAUGCAGCGACGCCGCGUGGGGGAUGAAGGCCUUCGGGUUGUAAACUCCUUUCGACAGGGACGAAGCGUAAGUGACGGUACCUGUAUAAGAAGCACCGGCUAACUACGUGCCAGCAGCCGCGGUAAUACGUAGGGUGCGAGCGUUGUCCGGAAUUACUGGGCGUAAAGAGCUCGUAGGUGGUUUGUCGCGUCGUCCGUGAAAUUCCGGGGCUUAACUCCGGGCGUGCAGGCGAUACGGGCUGACUUGAGUGCUGUAGGGGAGACUGGAAUUCCUGGUGUACGGUGAAAUGCGCAGAUAUCAGGAGGAACACCGAUGGCGAAGGCAGGUCUCUGGGCAGUAACUGACGCUGAGGAGCGAAAGCAUGGGUAGCGAACAGGAUUAGAUACCCUGGUAGUCCAUGCCGUAAACGGUGGGCGCUAGGUGUAGGGGGCUUCCACGUCUUCUGUGCCGUAGCUAACGCAUUAAGCGCCCCGCCUGGGGAGUACGGCCGCAAGGCUA
rnacentral:rRNA from 1 species